rnacentral:rRNA from 1 species
UACAGAGGGGGCGAGCGUUGUUCGGAAUUACUGGGCGUAAAGGGCGCGUAGGCGGCCUCUUAAGUCGAACGUGAAAUCCCCGGGCUCAACCUGGGAACUGCAUUUGUGACUGCACGGCUAGAGUGUGUCAGAGGGGGGUAGAAUUCCACGUGUGAGCAGUGAAAUGCGUAGAUAUGUGGAGGAAUACCGAUGGCGAAGGCAGCCCCCUGGGCCAAUACUGACGCUCAUGCACGAAAGCCGUGGGGAGCAAACAGG